UGACGCCCCACGUGACCCCGGCGGAGCGCGCACUCUCGUGCCGGGGCGCUGGUUGGGGGGCGCUGGUGUGCGCGCGCAGGCGAAGGGCGGGGCCGUCCUCACACCCGCUACCCGCUCGAGGCCCCGGGCUGGGUUCCAGCGCGCAGCACGUGGGGAGCCCAAGUGUGGCUCGUCCCUCACAAGGCGCGAGGGAGGAGGGACAGUCAGGAGUCCUUGCAGGGCCACAAAGAUAGGGUGUUAUUUCAGAGCCGUAGCGCCUGGCCUGCCCUCCCUCCCUCAGCACUGGGGCCCAAAGCUACGGGCCAGGUCGCAAGGGACGAAAGGCCUCCAUUCGUUUCAAAGUGCUGGCACGCUUUCACAAGGCAGCACAGCUUGGUCUGCCCCGCGCACCACGUGGCGGGGGAUGCCCGUUUCCCGAAGCCCUCCGACCCCAAGGGAACGACCCGACAAGUUCUUUGAAUCAUUGAAAAUGUAGAAACACUUGCCAGAAGUUACUUGUGCUUCACGAAUGUUAGGUCCCGUAUUUUUUUAAAUGCCUUCGAUUUUGCAAAUGCUGACGCGGGGCGAGGUGGUUCCUGACUCGUUCAAGGAGGCGUGAGCUUUCGUAGGAUGCAGCCAACUUUGUCAGAUGCUAUGGACGGACUUCUAAAAGACGUGGGGUACUAAAUGAAAAGGAAUAAAGCCAUUUCAAUAUAAAGGACAGGGAAGGAGAGGAAGAGAGGAAGCUUUGCACAAAGAGUUGUUAUGUUCAUGUUGAGAUAGGAAUUUUGAAUGGUAUUCCUACCACAUGGAAAAAAAAAUGAAGAAAAAAAUCUGUGAGAGUAUCAAAGAAAGUAUGAGAGCACCAAAAGAGGAAAGCUUUGUAAAUUCUGAUUUUCAGAAACUUUCUUAGAAUCAGCAUUAGUAAUUAUUUAUGUAGCACUGCCAAUGGAUACAGCUUUUAUAGCAAGUAAAAUGCAUAAUAAAAACAUGAAAAAAACGGAAAGUUCCUGGACCACAGAGCUUGCAGUCUGAAGGCACGUUUGUUUCAGAAAAGCAUACAGGGAGAGCUGUGUGAACUGAAGAGGAGCAAGAUUCAUGAAACAAAGGAGGAAGCAAUGGAAAGCAGAGAAAACAGAUGUUGUCCCCUGUUGGAAACUGAGGUGAGGACCAGAGAACAAUGAAAUUAUAGCAUCACAAAGAAACUGAAAGUUGAGUAACAGACCAGAAAAGCUGUUUAGUCAGGACUUGUCAAAACACAGAAGUCACAUGAGCUUAACUAAAGGUGUGAUGUUCUACCAACCUAGUCAAAGAUUAUAAAAAGUGCGCUGGUUUAAUAACGGUGCAAUAUUUAUUCUCCCCCUAGAUUAAAAAUAAUAAAAUGCCUACCCCAA